GGUUGAAACCACCCGCUGACACUACUGGGUGACACUACCAGGUGACACCACUGGUUGACGUUACUGGGUGACACUGCCAGUUGACACUACCAGGUGACACCAGUGGUUGGCAGUUCCAAUACUACCGGGUGACACCACUCGUUGACACUACGGGGGUGACAGUACUGGUUGACGCUCCUGGUUGACACUACCAGGUGACACCAUCGGUUGACACAAGGUGACAGUAGCGGUUGACGCUUGUGGUUGACAGUUCCGGUUGACACUGCCGGUUGACAUUAGCGGUUGACACUGGUGGCUGACACCACCAGGGGACAACGUCAGUUGACACCACUGGGUGACGGUGCCAGUUGACACUACCAGGCUGACACUACCGGUUGACGCCACUGGUUGACGUUACUGGGUGACGUUGCCAGUUGACACUACCAGGUGACACCAGCGGUUGACAGUUCCAAUACUACCGGGUGACACCACUGGUUGACACCACUCGUUGACACUACGGGGUNGAAGAGUCACGGGAUCGUAGGGUUAUAGGAUCAUGGGAUAGAAGAGUCAUGGGAUCCCACCCCAACCAUUUUAGGAUCCCAUGGUUCCAUGAUCCUAAAGGUCCCUCCCACCCCAACCAUUGUAGGAUCCCAUGGUUCCAUAAUCCUUAAGGUCCCUCCCAACCCAACCAUUUUGGGAUCCCAUGGUUCCAUGACCCUACAGGUCCCUCCCACCCCAACCACUGUAGGAUUCCACAGUUCCAUGGUCCUAAAGGUUUCUUCCACCCCAACCAUUUUGGGAUCCCAUGGUUCCAUGACCCUAAAGGUUCCUCCCACCCCAACCAUUGUAGGAUCCCAUGGUUCCAUGAUCCUAAAGGUCCCUCCCACCCCAACCAUUGUAGGAUCCCACAGUUCCAUGGUCCUAAAGGUUUCUUCCACCCCAACCAUUUUGGGAUCCCGUGGUUCCGUGACCCUAAAGGUCCCCCCCACCCCAAGGACGUUGGGAUUUCGUGGUGCUAUGAGCUCUAAGCCCCCCACCCCACCCCACUUUGGGACCCCCUGGCUCCCUUUGCAGGCGAACCCCCUGGAUGUCACCAAGCUGAUCUACUGCUCCCGCACGGUGCCGGAGAUCGAGAAGGUCGGAUGUGGGGCGAGGAA
rnacentral:lncRNA from 1 species